rnacentral:rRNA from 1 species
AGACGUAGGGGGCGAGCGUUGUCCGGAAUCACUGGGCGUAAAGAGCACGUAGGCGGGAUAUUAAGUCAGGUGUGAAAGACCGUGGCUCAACCACGGGGUUGCACUUGAAACUGAUAUUCUUGAGGGCAGGAGAGGACAGUAGAAUUCCUGGUGUAGCGGUGAAAUGCGUAGAAAUCAGGAGGAAUACCGGUGGCGAAGGCGACUGUCUGGACUGACCCUGACGCUGAGGUGCGAAAGCGUGGGUAGCAAACAGGAUUAGAUACCCUGGUAGUCCACGCCGUAAACUAUGGAUACUAGGUGUAGGAGGUAUCGACCCCUUCUGUGCCGCAGCAAACGCAAUAAGUAUCCCGCCUGGGGAGUACGAUCGCAAGGUUGAA